AUUGAACGCUGGCGGCAGGCCUAACACAUGCAAGUCGAACGAGUGGCGGACGGGUGAGUAAUGUCUGGGAAACUGCCUGCUGGAGGGGGAUAACUACUGGAAACGGUAGCUAAUACCGCAUACCAUCGGAUGUGCCCAGAUGGGAUUCGCUAGUAGGGGGGGUAACGGCUCACCUAGGCGACGAUCCAUAGCUGGUAUGAGAGGAUGACCAGUCACACUGGAAAGUAGACACGGUCCAGACUCCUAAGGUAGGCAGCAGUGGGGAAUAUUGCACAAUGGGCGCAAGCCUGAUGCAGCCAUGCCGCGUGUAUGAAGAAGGCCUUCGGGUUGUAAAGUACUUUCAGCGGGGAGGCGUUACCCGCAGAAGAAGCACCGGCUAACUCCGUGCCAGCAGCCGCGGUAAUGC
rnacentral:rRNA from 1 species